rnacentral:pre_miRNA from 1 species
CUAUUACUCCCUCUGUUCGGAAUUACUUGUCGCGAAAAUGGAUGUAUCUAAAAUACGUCUAGAUACAUCCAUUUUCGCGACAAGUAAUUCCGAACAGAGGAAGUAAAAC